rnacentral:rRNA from 1 species
AGUUUCGCGAAUCAUUUUCGCGCCUGAAGGAUUUUAUGGCCAAGCUACUAAGGGUGAACGGUGGAUGCCUUGGCGCUGAGCGGCGAUGAAGGACGCGGCAAGCUGCGAUAAGCCUCGGGGAGCGGCAAACACGCUUUGAUCCGAGGAUUUCCGAAUGGGGAAACCCGGCGGGGGUCAUGCCCCGUCACGGCGGUCUGAAUACAUAGGGCCGUCGAGCAAACCCCGGGAAGUGAACCAUCUCAGUACCGGGAGGAAAAGAAAGAAAUUCGAUUCCGUCAGUAGCGGCGAGCGAAAGCGGAUCAGCCCAAACUCGAGAGCCUCCGGGUUCUCGGGGGUUGUGGGGCAGAGUCCGGAUCAGAUCCGGGGAGUUACCAAUCGCGUGUCUAGGUGAAGGUCCUGGAACGGACGGCCACAGAGGGUGAUAGCCCCGUAGCCGAAAGACAUCGCGACUCCCGACUUUGACCCCGAGUACCACGGGACACGAGGAAUCCCGUGGGAAUCAGGGAGGACCAUCUCCCAAGGCUAAAUACGUCUCAGCGACCGAUAGUGAACCAGUACCGUGAGGGAAAGGUGAAAAGCACCCCUGUAAGGGGAGUGAAAUAGUACCUGAAACCGUUCAUCUACAAGCAGUGGAACCACCAUGGAGCAAUCCGGUGGAACCGCGUGCCUUUUGCAUAAUGAGCCGGCUAGU